rnacentral:rRNA from 1 species
GACAAACGCUGGCGGCGCGCCUAACACAUGCAAGUCGAACGAGCGAGAGAGAGCUUGCUUUCUCAAGCGAGUGGCGAACGGGUGAGUAACGCGUGAGGAACCUGCCUCAAAGAGGGGGACAACAGUUGGAAACGACUGCUAAUACCGCAUAAGCCCACAGGUCGGCAUCGACCAGAGGGAAAAGGAGCAAUCCGCUUUGAGAUGGCCUCGCGUCCGAUUAGCUAGUUGGUGAGGUAACGGCCCACCAAGGCAACGAUCGGUAGCCGGACUGAGAGGUUGAACGGCCACAUUGGGACUGAGACACGGCCCAGACUCCUACGGGAGGCAGCAGUGGGGAAUAUUGCACAAUGGGGGAAACCCUGAUGCAGCGACGCCGCGUGGAGGAAGAAGGUCUUCGGAUUGUAAACUCCUGUUGUUGAGGAAGAUAAUGACGGUACUCAACAAGGAAGUGACGGCUAACUACGUG